UCAACAAAAUCACUGAUGCUGGAGUUGCGUGUGUCAUCACUCAGCACCAGGAUAUUGUUGGGGA
rnacentral:pre_miRNA from 1 species